rnacentral:lncRNA from 1 species
AAAUUGCUGCAUAUUAUCUAUCCCCUGGUGAACUUCUUUUCCACAUGUUCAUAUUUAAGUAGGAAUAGAGGUGAAUACAUAAAGUUGAAUGCUUGAAUUGUUUUUAAAAGGCCAAUUCAGAAUAUUUUUAAAAGUAUUUUAGUGUGUCAAAUGUGAACUGACACACAGUAUGUUGCUCACAGCAAGCUGAAAAAUCUUUAGUAUAUGAACUUUUUAUAUGACUUAGUAACUAACAAUUCAAAAAUGUAAACCUGACUGUUUUAUAAUGAAUGUUUUUGGAAACACAUUUGCAAUCUAUUCUUUACCCAACAAGCUUGGAAAUGAAUGUAUAUGCAGAGGAAGGUUUAUAUUCAGAAGAGUAUUUAGUUUUACAAAGCUAAUAACAUUUCCCUGGAGGAUUGGAAGGUUAUUAAAUUUGAUCACAUUCCAUUUUCUCACCUGAUAUGUUAUACUAUGUUGAUCUGUAUCAAAUGUGAAAUAAAUACAAUAUUUUAACAGA